rnacentral:rRNA from 1 species
GACGAACGCUGGCGGCGUGCCUAAUACAUGCAAGUAGGACGCAGUUGCGAACGGGUGAGUAACGCGUAGGUAACUACCUAUUAGAGGGGGAUAACUAUUGGAAACGAUAGCUAAUACCGCAUACUCGUAGAUGGACCUGCGUUGUAUUAGCUAGUAGGUAGGGUAAUGGCCUACCUAGGCAACGAUACAUAGCCGACCUGGGAGGGGGAUCGGGCACACGGGGACUGGGGAACGGCCCAGACUCCCUCGGGAGGCAGCAGGAAGGAAUCGUCGGGAAUGGGGGGAAACCUGACCGAGCAACGGCGCGGGAGGGAAGAAGGGUUUCGGAUCGUAAAGAUCUGGUGGUAAGGAAGCGGUACUUAACCAGAAAGGGACGGCUAACUACGUGCCAGCAGCCGCGGUAAUAC